CUAGUAAUCGCAGAUCAGAAUGCUGCGGUGAAUACGUUCCCGGGUCUUGUACACACCGCCCGUCACACCAUGGGAGUCGGAAAUGCCCGAAGCCGGUGACCAAACCAAUAAGGAAGGAGCCGUCGAAGGCAGGUCUGAUAACUGGGGUGAAGUCGUAACAAGGUACC
rnacentral:rRNA from 1 species